GUUAUUGCUUGACAGAGUAAAAAUAGAAGUGUCUUCAAAGGUGUCUUUCUCUGGAAUAAGCAACUCAGCAUAAAGUCAAUUUAUAUGCUGAAAAGGUUACAGUCAAUGUAUUAUGGCUGUAUAUAUAGGAUCUCUUCAUUUACAAUUCCCUAUCUUUCCCAAGAAAUUGUAAAUUUUUUAGACUUCUACAGCACCUUGCCCAAUGGGGCCCUGAAUGCAGAUUUUGCAUGCCCCUGUAAGUAUGAGGAAUCAGAAUUACACAAUUGAGUUUGCUGUUGCCUGCAGGAAAAAAAAUACAAAAAAAAAAAUACAAAAAAAAAUACUGUAUUUCCGACUUGCUUCAAGGCCGAGAGGUAAAUCUGAAUGUUGUAGCCUUCAGGUGCAGGAGGCAGUUUAGAGCUGUUCUAUUUUGUUUCAAAUAGUAUCUGUCAAGGCUCAAGCAAGAAAAGGGCAAACUCGGGAGCCUAUCUGUGCUUUCCCUCACGCCAAUGAGGGAGUUACAUCUUCCCAUUCCCUUCAUGAGCAGAGUCCCAUCUCUCGAAAUGAACCUUCUAAUGCAUUGUGAUCUCCACAAUGCCACUUUCGUCUGAUGUAUGAUUCAUGGUCCUCUGCAAAACGUUUUCCCUUGCCAAAAAAACAUUAAAUAUCAGGAAAAGUGUCCCUAGAUGGAUUGCACCAUGGAAAAUAGGCCUCAAUAGCAUUUUUAUCAUUGUUAUUUGCCUAUUUGUCGCUUAACAGCUGACUUGUACUGCUUGCCUCUCCCCUCGACAUUGGAGUUUCAUGUGGACCAUCGGUUUGCCAAUGUAAUGGGUUUUCACAGCCAGGGGAAGCAAACGUGGAUUCACCAGCUCCGGGCAAGAUGCAGGACCUUCGCAGAUAAGGGGAUCUUCCAUCACUCCGUCCUCAUUCCCCUUUCCAUAAACAAAAGCCUGAAAACAAAAGAGAUGCAAAUCUCUCAAACACUGAGGAAUGGCUUCCCGCAGAGAAGACUCCAAACGGGAAGAAUGGAUCAUUAAAAGGAGUAAAUAAGUGAACUCAUUGAAGAGGAAUGAGGAGAAAAGCAGGGGUGAAGGUGGAAAUUACAAAACUGGGAAAGGGAGAAGAAAGUCAACGAGAACGAGAGAGAGGCCUUGCAAAGAGAUUUUACUGAAAUAGCCAGCUGUGAACCGAAGACAAAAAAAACCCCCACGAUAUCCAGAACAUGUCUAGAAAUGACACGUCUCCUUCUGCACAGAUGAUUGUAAGCGAUGGGAUGAAAUCGCUGUCUUUGGGGAGGUAACUAGGAAGAUAAUGGAAAUGUGUCACCAUUUUUGCAAAGGACCUCCGUCUUUCUGUUUCAAUUCUUGGUGUGAGGGCUUCGUGCUGCUCAGGAGAUUCUCCCUGAAUUGUUUGCUUUUGGCAGGGGUGGGCUGAGUUCUACUUAAUUUAUUUGGUCGUUUACUUAGUAACAAUAUCGUCAUUCCGGCGCUGGUAGAAGGGGGAGUUGAUCUACACAAAAGUUUUGGUUCAGACAACUUGGAAAUCCACGGCGUGGAUUUUGCAAAUAGUUCGGGCAGAAAAAUUGGCAAAAUCUCAGAGAUAAAGGAAAACGUGUCAUUCAUCUCGCAGGGAUGAUGAGAAAAAGAUGAAGGGUCAAGUGAGAAACUGUCAAUUCGUGAAACGCCUUUUUUAUUAGAAUAACACUUUUGACUACAGGUUGAUGGUUAAAAGCUUCUGGAAAUUUGCUAGCUAUCCUUGAAGAGAAACUGCUGAGGCUGGAGCUGGGCCUCACCGCUCCUCCAUGAGAUCCCAGCCGGCCGCUUCGCAAGCCCUGUGUCCCCGCUUUCACCUUUCUGCCUGCGGAGGGUACGCACGGCUUCUGAGCCGGGGGAAAUGUUAUUUACGCUCUACAGAUGGCUCCACCUGAUCUGAAGCCUCAUUUUUCUGACACCUCUCACUUUUCGCCUCCACAGCACGAUUAGGCCGUAGAGGGCUGACGGAUCCGAUGACGGAGGGAAAGCGGGGCAGUUCGCGCAU
rnacentral:lncRNA from 1 species